UGGCUACAAAAUAAUUUAUUUUGUAGCCACUUUGAGUUACGAUAAUUACUAUAUUAAUUUACAAGAUUAUAGGAACUCCUUACUAAGUGGUUUACUAUAACAUUACGGUAAAUAUUCCCAUAUGUUAUAUUAACCUAACUAUCGUAAAUAUGUAUACAUAUUAUCGUAAAUUAGUAUAUAAAAUUAUCGUAAAUGGAGGUGACUACAAAAUAACAUAUUUUGUAGCUA
rfam:Sorghum bicolor cultivar BTx623 chromosome 1, whole genome shotgun sequence.